GGGCUGAGCCCGGACAGCCCCACUGAGGAUGCGAGAACGGGCUCCUCUGUGUUCACCUGGAAACUCCAGGGGCGGCGGCUCCCUCCCCCAGAAUUUGCCACGUGUGUUCUGCAUUGUGUCCCCCAGGAGUCUGUAAGCCCAGCCCACGGAGGUGGGGAGGGAAGCGUCUGGAUUAACAGUGGCACCCCCCUUCCUCUGUGCCGGGCCACCUCCCGCCCACCUUAUAAAGCAGGGCCUGCCUGCCCUACAGCACCACCCGCCCAGCCCAGGCCAGCCUCCGCCUCUUUCUGCUCUAUAUCCCCUGUUAACAUCCGGGCUCUACGCUGCCAUGGCUUUACCCCUGGGGUUUGCCCCCUGGGGACAGAAGGUGCCAGAUUUGCUGACCAGAGGAUUCCUGUCCCAGUUUCAGAGACCUCUUCUGCUCUUCUCCCGUCCUCGUGGUGGGCCGGUGCCUUGGGACCCUGCAAGACACCCACCAGAUGUGCUCCAUGGCCUUGGACCUCCGAACUGUGAGCUGAGUACCCGUCCAGCCUCUCAAACCACCCAGGCCCAGGAAUUGAUCCAGGCCCACAAUCUAGUGGUUAAGGGAGCGACAUCCCACGUGGCCAACAAAGGUUCGAAUCCUGGUCCUCCGAGACAACAAACCUGUCAGGCACGAGGGCACUCCUGCCCCAAACCCUGCCGGGUGGAAAAAUGAGCGAGAAGAG